rnacentral:rRNA from 1 species
GGGCAGGGUGAGUCGACCCCUAAGGCGAGGCCGAAAGGCGUAGUCGAUGGGAAACAGGUUAAUAUUCCUGUACUUGGUGUUACUGCGAAGGGGGGACGGAGAAGGCUAUGUUAGCCGGGCGACGGUUGUCCCGGUUUAAGCAUGUAGGCUGGUUAUCCAGGCAAAUCCGGAUAAUCAAGGCUGAGGUGUGAUGACGAAGCACUACGGUGCUGAAGUAACAAAUGCCCUGCUUCCAGGAAAAGCCUCUAAGCAUCAGGUAACAUCAAAUCGUACCCCAAACCGACACAGGUGGUCAGGUAGAGAAUACCAAGGCGCUUGAGAGAACUCGGGUGAAGGAACUAGGCAAAAUGGU